rnacentral:rRNA from 1 species
UACGGGGGGGGCAAGCGUUGUUCGGAAUUACUGGGCGUAAAGGGCUCGUAGGCGGCCAACUAAGUCAGACGUGAAAUCCCUCGGCUUAACCGGGGAACUGCGUCUGAUACUGGAUGGCUUGAGAUUGGGAGAGGGAUGCGGAAUUCCAGGUGUAGCGGUGAAAUGCGUAGAGAUGUGGAGGAACACCGAUGGCGAAGGCAGCCCCCUGGGCUAACACUGACGCUCAUGCACGAAAGCGUGGGGAGCAAACAGG